GUGCUCGCUUCGGCAGCACAUAUACUAAAACUGGAACGAUACAGAGAAGAUAAGCAAGGCCCCUGUGCAAAGAUGACAUGCAAAUUCGUGAAGCGUUCCAUAUUUUU
rnacentral:snRNA from 1 species